AUGUGGUAUCUCAAGUGGCAUCUUAACUGCCAUGCAAAUCCCACCCUCAACAUGCUUUUCCAGUGCUGCUCCUGCCCCCUCCUCCAUGGUUUGGUGUGGAAACUUGCUGUCUGGACAGACAAAAUAAGGCCAGAUGCGGGGGUCAAGUUCAAAUAUCAGGUGCUCAUACUGCCUCUGGAAAGAAGACCCAGGAAAUGGGCACCAGGUGCCAGCAUUCUGCCACCACCGUGCCUGCGAGGCUCACAGGGAGCUGGUGGAGGUGCACAGGUGCACACUCUGCAGACCAAGAAGCGCUGCCUGCCAGUGUGCACCUGGCACGUGCCAGGGCCUGUGACUGAGGGAGCCUGUGUAGACCCUUCAGUGGCCAGACCUGUGCACUGGUCCUGGGUGGGUGCCUGUGCUCUCUCCCAGCCCCACACAGCAGUGCAGGUGAGGGAACAGCGCCCUAGAGCCUCAGCUUCACUCUGCGGGGUUUUUGUCCAUUUUGCCAUUUUGCUCUGUUACAGAGCACACUCUGGAUUCAGGUCUAUGGGACACAUCAGCUUCCUGGCCCCCCCCCCCACCCCCCCGCCCAAAAGACUCAGAAAAAAAAGGUCUCAAGCAGUUUCCCAAACCCAGACAGACACCUGUGCUGCCCAAGGCAGGGCCCAGGGCACAGAAAGAGGCACAAGCGCAAGCAAGCCCUCGGAGCCAGCCACCACCCAGAAGGGAAGGUCCGAGGUCCCGAGACUCCCCUGGCGCCCCCAGCAGGGGCACAGCCGCGGGUGCGGGUUUGUGAGGAGUGUGGCGCCCUCUGCUGGUGACACGCGUGCAUCGCCUCGCCCUCUGGCCCCACGAGGCCCCGGAGGCUGUCGCAGAGGACCCCAGGCCCAACACCUGAACCCCGGCCUCAACAUUCUGCCUUCUUCCCUGGAAGCCCAGGGACCCCGGACCCCGGUGCCAGGAUCCAGCUUGGUAGAUGUUGGCCAGGGACAGCCCCCAACCGUCAAGUCUCCUUGGGUUUUCUAG
rnacentral:lncRNA from 1 species